rnacentral:rRNA from 1 species
CGCGAAUGGCUCAUUACAACAGCUAUAAUUUACUUGAUCUUGACUUCCUACUUGGAUAACUGUGGUAAUUCUAGAGCUAAUACAUGCACCAAAGCUCCGACCUUACGGGAAGAGCGCAUUUAUUCGAACAAAACCAAGCGGCUUCGGCCGUCCGCAGUUGACUCAGAAUAACUAAGCUGAUCGCAUGGUCUUGCACCGGCGACGUGUCUUUCAAGUAUCUGCCGUAUCAACUUUCGAUGGUAGUGUAUCUGACUACCAUGGUGAUCACGCGUAACGGAGAAUAAGGGUUCGACUCCGGAGAGUUCGCCUGAGAAAUCGCGAACACAUCUAAGGAAGGCAGCAGGCGCGAAAAUUACCCACUCUCAGCACGAGGAGGUAGUGACGAAAAAUAACGAGACCGUUCUCUUAUGAGGCCGGUCAUCGGAAUGGGUACAAUUUAAACCCUUUAACGAGUAUCUAUGAGAGGGCAAGUCUGGUGCCAGCAGCCGCGGUAAUUCCAGCU